GCCCUUGGGCUUGCAUCCCACGAACCUGCCCGAAAGGGUCGGGUGCCCGCAAGGGAGCGUGGAGACAGGUGGUGCAUGGCUGUCGUCAGCUCGUGUCGUGAGAUGUUGGGUUAAGUCCCGCAACGAGCGCAACCCUCACCCCUUGUUGCGACCGGGUAAAGCCGAGCACUCUAGGGGAACUGCUAGCGUUAAGCUGGAGGAAGGCGAGGAUGACGUCAAGUCAUCAUGCCCCUUACGCCCUGGGCUACACACGUGCUACAAUGGCCGGUACAAAGGGAUGCGAUACCGCGAGGUGGAGCUAAUCCCAAAAAACCGGACUAAGUUCAGAUUGCAGUCUGCAACUCGACUGCAUGAAGGAGGAAUCGCUAGUAAUCGCGCAUCAGCACGGCGCGGUGAAUACGUUCCCGGGCCUUGUACACACCGCCCGUCACACCACGAAAGCCGGCUGUACUCGAAGUCGCUGAGAAGGGC
rnacentral:rRNA from 1 species